AUACGUAGGGGCAAGCGUUAUCCGGAUUUACUGGGUGUAAAGGGAGCGUAGACGGCACUGCAAGUCUGGAGUGAAAGCCCGGGGCUCAACCCCGGGACUGCUUUGGAAACUGUGGGUGCUAGAGUGCAGGAGAGGUAAGUGGAAUUCCUAGUGUAGCGGUGAAAAGUGCGUAGAUAUUAGGAGGAACACCAGUGGCGAAGGCGGCUUACUGGACUGUAACUGACGUUGAGGCUCGAAAGCGUGGGGAGC
rnacentral:rRNA from 1 species